GAUGAACGCUGGCGGUAUGCUUAACACAUGCAAGUCGAACGGACUCUUCGGAGUUAGUGGCGGACGGGUGAGUAACGCGUGAGAAUCUGGCUUUGGGUUCGGGACAACCACUGGAAACGGUUGCUAAUACCGGAUGUGCCGAGAGGUAAAAGAGAAAUUGCCUGAAGAUGAGCUCGCGUCUGAUUAGCUAGUUGGUGAGGUAAAGGCUCACCAAGGCAGCGAUCAGUAGCUGGUCUGAGAGGAUGACCAGCCACACUGGGACUGAGACACGGCCCAGACUCCUACGGGAGGGAGCAGUGGGGAAUUUUCCGAAAUGGGCGAAAGCCUGACGGAGCAAUACCGCGUGAGGGAAGAAGGCUCUUGGGUUGUAAACCUCUUUUCUUAGAGAAGAACAAAGUGACGGUACCUAAGGAAUCAGCAUCGGCUAACUCCGUG
rnacentral:rRNA from 1 species